rnacentral:lncRNA from 1 species
GACUCACCGAGCGAAGCCUGCACCGUCUCGGCCGCGGAGAAGGCGAGCAGCGAGCCCUCUUUGGCCAGGAAGCCUUUGCCGUCCUCCGCGUCAGCCUGCAGCGCCUCCGCCUUGUCGAAGUUACCGCCGCCGGGCAGCGGCUGCGGCGCGAACUUGCGGGCCGCUGCCGCCUCCUGGUGCUGGGGCGACGCGGAGAAGCCGCCGGGGAGCGUGGCCAUGAGCGUAGAGGAAUUCCUGGACAGACUCACCGACAGGACACUGAAGGCAGGGCAAGGCGACCCAUGGACCUCAUUCUACGGGGUGGCACAGUAACCGGUUCUCACCCAGUCCUCCUAGCUACCUGGCACGGUAGAUGGCAUCCUCCCUCCUUUUUGGUGAGGAGUUCAUCUUUGAGGUUUAAGCAGUGGUCUAAAGGGCAGGGCCCGGCAGAGGAUGGUGGCCUUGCAGUCAGUGUGUCCUGUUUGGGAUAUGAACUCCAGCCCCCACUAUCCAGUGGUGAAUACAAGGACUCCACAACCACCAAAAGAUGAUGCUGACUGAGCAAUGCAACAACAACAACAACAACAACAAACAGCUGCUAAAAAUAAGGCUGCAUUCAAGACUCAAACGUCACCUUUUGUGUGUGAGUGGGGAAAGGGACAUUGCUUCUGAACAUUUUGUUAGUAAUGUUAAACAUCUCAUAUGGUUUGGUUGUGUCCCCACCCAAAUCUCACCUUGAGUUUUACUCCCAUAAUUCCCAUGUGUUGUGGGAGGGACCCGGUGGGAGAUAAUUGAAUCAUGGGGGUGGUUUCCUUCAUACUGUUCUCUUGGUAGUGAAUAAGUCUCAUGAGAUCUGAUGGUUUGAUAAGGGGAAACCCCUUUUGCUUGGUUCUCAUUCUCUCUCUUGCUGCUGCCUUUCACCUUCCACCUCCCCAGCCACAUGGAACAGUAAGUCCAAUAAACCUCUUUCUUUUGUAAAUUG